GAACCUGGGACCUUUCAGUCCGCAGGCUGACGCUCUAUCCACUGAGCCAAACCGGUUUCGGCUGGAAGGCCAUUUUUUCUGACUAUAAGUGGGGUCUCACAGAACCAGAAGGAGCACACAGCUCUUCUUAAAAUUGAAGGUGUUUAUACUUGAGAUGAAACUGAAUUCUAUCUAGACAAGAGAUGUGCUUAUGUGUACAAAAGCAAGAUCUCCACAGUGACUCCUGGCAGCAAAUGGAGUAAAACCACAGUAAUCCUGGGAAAGGAGGUACCUGGUGCUCAUGGAAACAGUGGCACGGGUCAUGCUACAUUCCAAAGUGACCUUCCUGCCAAGGCCACUGGACAUAGAGUCUGUGUAAUGUUGUAUCCAUUAAGGAUUUAAACUUAUUGAAAAAUAAAUAAAUGAAAUGGUUUUGU